AGUGAACGCUGGCGGUAGGCCUAACACAUGCGAGUCGAACGGCAGCACAGUAAGAGCUUGCUCUUACGGGCGGCGAGUGGCGGACGGGUGAGGAAUACAUCGGAAUCUACUUUUUCGUGGGGGAUAACGUGGGGAAACUUACGCUAAUACCGCAUACGACCUACGGGUGAAAGCAGGGGAUCUUCGGACCUUGCGCGAUUGAAUGAGCCGAUGUCGGAUUAGCUAGUUGGCGGGGUAAAGGCCCACCAAGGCGACGAUCCGUAGCUGAUCUGAGAGGAUGAACAGCCACACUAGAACUGAGACACGGUCCAGACUCCUACGGAAGGCAGCAGUGGAGAAUAUUAGACAAUGGGCGCAAACCUGAACCAACCAUACCGCGUGGAUGAAAAAGGCCUUCGGGUUGUAAAGCCCUUUUGUUGGGAAAGAAAAACAGCAGGUUAAUACCCCGCUGUUCUGACGGUACCCAAAGAAUAAGCACCGGCUAACUUCGUG
rnacentral:rRNA from 1 species